AAAGUUUAAGAAGUGCAAAAUGUCUUUACAACAUGAUAAGUAUACAUCUGAUGCUGCUUUUUGUUGAAUUGCUUUGGCACCCAACAGAUGCUAGAAAGACAACUCAAAUUCUUGGGUUUGGGUACCUGAUGGAUUUUCUGUAGAUAAAACAUGGGCUCAUGCGAUGCUCACAGCCAUGAUGCUGAAGUUCAUGGCUGUCUGAACAAAUGUUUUCCGUUCCAGUCUCAGCUCUUGGGAUAUCUGAGUGACCAGUUAUCAACCUGAAAUCAGCUGGGAAGGAAUCUUGGUGCAGGAUCAUUUGGAGGAUCAGAGUGACCCAUCCUGAAAGUGAGCAGCACCAUUUCAUGGCCUGGGCCCAGGACAAACUGAGCUGAGCACGGGAUUUGUCACUUUCUGUUUUCUAACAGCAGAUGUAAUGUGUCCUGAUCCUUCAGACUCCUGCCCUCUACAGGAGUGCAGCAUAGCAGUUCUCUCUGAGAGGCUCUACCCAGCAACUCACUGAGACAGAUACAAAUAUCCACAAGCAUUGGACAGAGGUCGAAGACAGCUAUGGAAUACUUAGUGGAAGGACUGAAUGCCCUCAAACAGAUGGCAACCCCACAGGAUGACCAACAGUAUCAACUA